UACGGAGGGUGCAAGCGUUAAUCGGAAUUACUGGGCGUAAAGCGCACGUAGGCGGUUUGAUAAGCCAGCCGUGAAAGCCCCGGGCUCAACCUGGGAAUUGCGGUUGGAACUGUCAAGCUCGAGUACAGUAGAGGGGUGUGGAAUUUCAGGUGUAGCGGUGAAAUGCGUAGAUAUCUGAAGGAACAUCAGUGGCGAAGGCGACACCCUGGACUGAUACUGACGCUGAGGUGCGAAAGCGUGGGGAGCAAACAGG
rnacentral:rRNA from 1 species